AUCUUUUUGAAAUAUAACUUGAAAUAAUUAUUCACCAUGCACAAUUUCUAAUAUAGAUAUUUAUAGAGAUUGAAUUCAGUAUAGUUUAUAUCAAAUAAGGUGAUGUGAAGCGUCAAACUAUCAAACAGUCCAAGUGGCGUGAAUAACUACUACAGUGGCUCGCACUGUCCUCAACAAUAAGCAAAUAUUCAUACCGUAUAUAAGUCAUUGACUUGGAAAAAUAUAAACAGUGCAAACGAGAAAAAAAAAACAUGACCGAAAGUAACCAACAAAAGCUUAUUAUUUGGGAAAACCAAUAUAAAGUUUGGCUUGAUUAAACACUCUGGUGUCACUGCACAAUAUCUGAAAAAAAAUAGAAUUCUGUUGGAAUAUACAUUUGUAUGAUGAAAGUCACCGAGUACCGAUCUUAAAGUACUCCCAGGUACUGAAAGCUUAAUAUUCUUACAUAUUAAAUUACCAUGUGGUUAUCCGAGAACAUUCAACGUAUUUGGUUAAAAUAAUAAGGAGAUGUGGUAUUAUUGUAAAUGAGAAACGAACUCGAUGUGUGAGCAACCGUACGCCUUUAUCAAGGAGAAAAGUGCAUACAGCUAUAAAAGAGGCCAGCUUGGAAAAAUAAAAAAAUAAAAAAAAAUAAUUAAGAAAACUACCGGCCUGCUUUAAAAUAAAACAAUUUACCAAAAACAAACAUAACAGACAUUAACCAACGACAACAAGUGAAGCAUAGGCUCCUGGCAUUGGACAGACACACAAAGAAUGUGGCCGGGUUGAACAUGUUUGUGAGUGCUCAAUUCCUUCCCUCUAAGCCUGGGACAGUGGUACAAUUGCACGACAUAAGAACAACCUGGAAAACCUUCCUUCCGAGAGCUUGGUUUACACAAAUACACGCAUAUUUAUAUUAAUUUUUUAGAUAAAAUAUGGUUUCAACCGUGUAUCACCUUCAAUGGUGAGCAUAUGCAUGGAUCUGUCGCAGAGUUGUCACUUUUAUCUAUCUAUAUACCUCCAAACCUAAAUUUGAAACUCAAAAUUUUUUACUUACUCAUAUAAGAUAAGUGAUAGUUUUAACAUCCCCA
rnacentral:lncRNA from 1 species